AAACCAACAGGGAUUGCCUUAGUAACGGCGAGUGAAGCGGCAAAAGCUCGUGUUUGAAACCGUUCGCGGGUUGUAUCAGCAAGUGUAGACGCGGCGUAAGUCCCUUGGAACAGGGCACCAAAGAGGGUGAGAGUCCCGUUGCUAUGUCAAUAUACACUGUCGACGAGUCGAGUUGUUUGGGAAUGCAGCUCUAACGGUGGUAAAACGCAUCGAAAGCUAAAUAUUGGCGAGAGACCGAUAGCGAACAAGUACAGUGAUGGAAAGAUGAAAAGGACUUUGGAAAGAGGGUGAAAGAGUUGUGAAAUUGUUGAGUGGGAAGGGUAUGUGUCGGGGGAGGCGAUUGUUCAGCAGUUCUUUGGGGCUGUGUAUUCAUGAGCCAUGGUAGAGCGGUCGUACUUGCGGCCCCUCUACGUCCCGUCACAUACCAC
rnacentral:rRNA from 2 species